GAUCCUGGCUCAGGAUGAACGCUAGCGGGAGGCCUAACACAUGCAAGCCGAGCGGUAUUGUUUCUUCGGAAAUGAGAGAGCGGCGUACGGGUGCGGAACACGUGUGCAACCUGCCUUUAUCUGGGGGAUAGCCUUUCGAAAGGAAGAUUAAUACUCCAUAAUAUAUUGAACGGCAUCGUUUAAUAUUGAAAGCUCCGGCGGAUAGAGAUGGGCACGCGCAAGAUUAGCUAGUUGGUGAGGUAACGGCUCACCAAGGCGAUGAUCUUUAGGGGCCUGAGAGGGUGAUCCCCCACACUGGUACUGAGACACGGACCAGACUCCUACGGGAGGCAGCAGUGAGGAAUAUUGGUCAAUGGGUGCAAGCCUGAACCAGCCAUCCCGCGUGAAGGACGACUGCCCUAUGGGUUGUAAACUUCUUUUGUAUAGGGAUAAACCUACCCUCGUGAGGGUAGCUGAAGGUACUAUACGAAUAAGCACCGGCUAACUCCGUG
rnacentral:rRNA from 1 species